UAAACCUAAUACAAGUUUCUGUGUAUUUAUUUGGGCCUAACUCGGGCAGGCAGCUGGCGCAGAGCACACACGUGGCGGUGGGCGUGCGGCAGCUUUUGGCAGAAAGAUUUAUCAUAACACCAGGAUGCCAUCUUAUUGUCAGGCAAGGCAAAUGGCAGGUUCUCUCCCAACCACUGUCUCAGCAGGUGCAACUGGGAACAUACAUGUGUCCUGGAAGUACAAGUACGAGAGAGGGCUCGUCAAAGGCAGUGCAUGUAUGAACAUGUGUAUUUCUAAGUGUGCUUGUGGGAAAUACGUGUGCAUAUAUGCAUUUCUGCAUGCAUAUUCUGGCAUGCAUUAUGAGUGCAUGUAUGUGAACCUGUGUGCUUAUGAACUUGGUGUGUAUCUGUGUAUCCGUGUGAUUGUGAAGGUGUGCCUGCAUGCAUGUGUGUGCGUGAAAGUGUGCGUCAGUGCAUAUACAUACAUGAGUGUGUGUUCACAUGUGCGUUGAGGAAGAUGGUGUCUGGAUAUGUGGAACGAGUGAGAGAAUUCAACUUAGGUCAUACGAGGUAUGUUACAGCUGCCAUUUACCACCUCUUUCCCCUUAGGCUCUGCAGGGCUCUUGCUCCCCCAGCCCUUCACAGAGGUGCGAAAGCCCAUGUUAUCAGACCUUCAGAAGCAGCGGUGGCUCCUCAGAUCAGAUGGGCACACAGCUGGUGCCCGACAUGUCUGCCUGGGACUCCUGGUUUAGAGGACUCCUUCCAGACACUGGGAAGAUGGGCCCUAAUUCACUAACACAGCAUGAACCCCACGUCUGUUUCCUUUGACCAUCUCUUCUUCCUGCCCAGUGCUUGAGGGUGACACAAGGCACUGCUUGUCGUGGAAAUCAGGGUUCUUGGCUUGUUUUGUGCUCACGUGUUUUCCAUAAAUAAUCCAUAUAACAAAGGGAACAGAUAAACAGAGGGGAGAGAAGGUUGUGGGCACCCACACUCUGUAGAGGAGCUCCCCACAGCUGUGUCAAGGACAACGGGCACAUGGAUGUGAUGUAAUUCCAUUGGACCCAGGACCUAGCUAGGAAUAGACCUCUGGAUGCCAGCUCUCACCUGACUGCCACCUGUGCCAGGAGGGCCUUGUCUUAUGGAAGUCCCUUCCACUCUCUGCCAGCAGGUGCUUUGUAGCAUCUCAACUUAGAGACAUGGACAUAGGGACUUUGAGUGGCAUCAGGCAAAUGGCAGGGUUUUAGGAAUCCAGGAAGAGCUUCGUGCUAUAGGCAUUUGCAGCAACUAGAGAAUACUUCCUGCAGAAGGUGGUGCAGUCUAACUCCCUUGGUCUUGGGAGUCCUGGUGGCUUGCUUCCCAUGUGAGAUCUUAGUGGAGACAUCCUCUUUGAGCCUGCUUCCCUCCUGUCUUCUUUAGAGUAUUUACUUGCACCUGGAUGCCACAGCGCAGAUACCUACAAUGGUAGCCCUCAGAAGACCUCAGCAACAGCUGGAGGAAGACUACUGCAAUCACAAGAGGCUGUCCAGUCUCAACAGAAAAUGGUAACUCACCAUCUGGCAGAAGGGUAAGUGACUUGAAGGUGGAGAAACCUUGCUCAACACAAGGACAUCCCCACCACUGGCCUCUUUAGCCUCCGAUUUCUCUUGUUCCUAAAGUAGGGGUCCACCCUACUUUGCUCCACCAGCCCAGAAUCCACCGACAUGGAAGACGAAGCCUGCGACUGGAAAAUGACCACGCCCACACUGUGGUUCACAAUCGCUCCGCACUUUUAUUGUUCACAUUCUUCGCACGGCAGAUACAGAACCGUCUUCUCGCGUGACCUAGAACCACGCUAGAAGACCUCCACUGAACAGGAGACACCACGCUUGACAAAACUUUCUCCUCGUUUUCCUGACAAUCUGGGAAGUGCUGAAGGGUGACCCAGCACAAUUUGCUCAUGCAAAGAGAGGGAGAGAGACAGAGAGAGGGGGGGAAGAGGGAAUCCCCCAAGAGCCCAGCAACGUUUUCCAGAGUUUUCCCAAGUUUGGCUGAAAGCAGCUUGCCAAGGCUUCGGGUUCGUGAGUUUUCCUGGCUGCUGGGACAGGCUGAGACGGUCUGUGUGAUCAGCUGUGAGGCAUACUGUGUCAGUGGGGUUAGCAACAGCCACAGUCCAUGCUUGCAAGGAUUAACUGCAGAGUGUGUAAAAGAAAAAUUCUAGUUGAAGAAAUGAAAAAGGGUACAGCAGAGUUUAGCUGGGUGGGUGAACAGGAAAACGGUAACGCUGGACAAUGAUGGAUGGUUUUCUGCCCAUGUGAGGGUCUCUAGGGUCCCCUUUUCCUGGACCAGUCAGUCCCCUUACUGCAGCCAGCCGACUGAUUAAUUAAAUAACGUGUUAUAAAACUUUAAAAAUGGAGCAUUUACAGUCGGGACCAUAAAUACGUGCUUUUAAAAGUGUCUACAUACAUAUUUACAGAGUUGUAAGAUCAACCGUAGUAACCCUGAAACAGGAAACCGCUUUCGUGUAUGACAACUCUCCCAAGUUCUGUCCUCCCUCUUUGACAUGUUGGGACCAGAAUGGAGCUGAGGAAACAGCACCAAAAUUGUCUCAGGCAUCCUCCACCCCAAAGGCACAAAACCCAAGAACUUCAGUGACCCAGCUAACUUAAAAAGUUCAGAUGGUAAAAAAAUGUAGGCGGUCCCACCAAAUGAGGCGAAGAAGGGCACAGGAGGGUCACACCUCCACCUCACAGUCCCUAACCACUGAUUCUUCUAAAGAAGAGGACCAGACUGAGGAAGUCCCAGCGGUGGCAAACAGCUCAAGAAGCACAAAGCAGGGUCAAGGAACUCUUUUAAAAAAUUGAAGAGAGGGAGAUGCCCCACCCACUCACCCACCCACCCCGGGCAGGAUGGCUGCACCACAGAGCACGGUUCUGGGCCAUGUCCAAGGAUCAUCUGGAGGAUGACGCAAAGGCUGCUGCCCUCCUGCUCCCAAGGCUGGGACCUUGGCUUGAAGACCACAUGCAUGCACCAGCACCUACACAUGCUCUUUCUCUCUCUCUCUCUCUCUCUCUCUCUCUCUCUCGCUCACUCUCACUCUCGCUCUCUUGCUUUCACAACUGGGAGAGGUCAGUACUCUCUGCAGGGCAGAACGCUGGUCCCUUUGGCUUCACUGAUUCCAGGUCACUUCAGGUGCUGAGGAGAAACAAAGAGAAAAUGACAAUGGUGGCCACACACUCACUGCCUUCCACGGCUUUUCAUGUUUCCCUGUUUAAUAAUUAUUCUAUUAAGCAGUUGACUAAAGUGUAAAGACAUAUGGAUAAGAGCCCCAUUUGAUGAAUUUUCAUAGCAUCUAUCAAGCUUCAGAGGAAGACACAGAACAUUACCCCCAACCCACCCUGAGCCAUCCCUAUUUCAGGGUUCCUCCCCCCAGACAGCCAUCAUCCUGGUUUUUAAUCACUUCAGAUUGGUUUGCCUCUGCCUACCUCUCUGGCUUCUUUCCUUCCUUCCCUCCCCCUUCUCUGACUUCUUUCCCGAAACAUAUUUGAUUACACUGUCUGAAGAUGUCA